rnacentral:lncRNA from 1 species
UCCCAAGACCCCCCAGCGGAAAAAUGGCCAAGAAACGGGUGGGCUAUAGCCUUGGUGGGGGGCGUGGGCGAAGUUCGUCCGCGGGACUCAGAAUGGCCCCAGACUUGGCGGGCGGCCUCCGUGUGCCAAAAAUAGGCCACGGGCACAGCCGCGCCCAAAAAUCAGCCCCCGAAGGUCGGGGUCACAAGACCCCCCAGCGGAAAAAAGGCCAACAAACGCGUGGGCUAUAGCCUUGGUGGGGGGCGUGGGCGAAGUUCGUCCGCGGGACUCGGAAUGGCCCCAGACUUGGCAGGCGGCCUCCGUGUGCCAAAAAUAGGCCACGGGCACAGCCGCGCCCAAAAAUCAGCCCCCGAAGGUCGGGGUCACAAGACCCCCCAGCGGAAAAAAUGGCCAAGAAACGCGUGGGCUAUAGCCUUGGUGGGGGGCGUGGGGGAAGUUCGUCCACGGGACUCGGAAUGGCCCCAGACUUGGCGGGCGGCCUCCGUGUGCCAAAAAUAGGCCACGGGCACAGCCGCGCCCAAAAAUCAGCCCCCGAAGGUCGGGGUCCCAAGACCCCCCAGCGGAAAAAUGGCCAAGAAACGGGUGGGCUAUAGCCUUGGUGGGGGGCGUGGGCGAAGUUCGUCCGCGGGACUCGGAAUGGCCCCAGACUUGGCGGGCGGCCUCCGUGUGCCAAAAAUAGGCCACGGACACAGCCGCGCCCAAAAAUCAGCCCCCGAAGGUCGGGGUCCCAAGACCCCCCAGCGGAAAAAUGGCCAAGAAACGCGUGGGCUAUAGCCUUGGUGGGGGGCGUGGGCGAAGUUCGUCCGCGGGACUCGGAAUGGCCCCAGACUUGGCGGGCGGCCUCCGUGUGCCAAAAAUAGGCCACGGGCACAGCCGCGCCCAAAAAUCAACCCCCGAAGGUCGGGGUCCCAAGACCCCCCAGCGGAAAAAUAGCCAAGAAACGGGUGGGCUAUAGCCUUGGUGGGGGGCGUGGGCGAAGUUCGUCCGCGGGACUCGGAAUGGCCCCAGACUUGGCGGGCGGCCUCCGUGUACCAAAAAUAGGCCACGGGCACAGCCGCGCUCAAAAAUCAGCCCCCGAAGGUCGGGGUCACAAGACCCCCCAGCGGAAAAAAGGCCAAGAAACGCGUGGGCUAUAGCCU